CAUUUUCGUCUUCCUAAGGCUGUGAAGAAGCAGCUGCAUUUGCCCAAAACCUUUUCAAGAUUAAAAAACAUUUUAGCUUCAAUUACGAACAAGAUGAGUUCUGAUGGUGGCCCAAGUCUUCCAUGAAGCGAGUACCAGCGGCGAACGACUUCAUCCGCGACAGGAGUGAGAAAGAGAUAAUCUGUAGAUGAUUUUGUUGAACCUGGGUUAAUUAAACCUGAAAAUGG
rnacentral:lncRNA from 1 species